AAAAAAAAAGAAAGUCAAAUUCAUUUGGGCUAGUCUCCCACUUCAAAUAAAAAGCAACCGGAUCUAGUAUGAGUUGGCGAUCAGAACGUAUAUGGAUAGAACUUAUAGCGGGGUCUCGAAAAACAAGUAAUUUCUGCUGGGCCUUUAUACUUUUUUUAGGUUCAUUGGGAUUUUUAUUGGUUGGAAUUUCCAGCUAUCUUGGCAGAAAUUUGAUAUCUUUAUUUCCGUCUCAGCAAAUAAUUUUUUUCCCACAAGGGAUCGUGAUGUCUUUCUAUGGGAUCGCCGGUCUAUUUAUUAGUUCUUAUUUGUGGUGCACAAUUUUGUGGAAUGUAGGUAGUGGUUAUGAUCGAUUCGAUAGAAAAGAAGGAAUAGUGUGUAUUUUUCGCUGGGGAUUUCCGGGAAAAAAUCGUCGCAUCUUACUACGAUUCCUUAUGAAAGAUAUUCAGUCUAUUAGAAUAGAAGUUAAAGAGGGUAUUUAUGCUCGGCGUGUCCUUUAUAUGGAAAUCAGAGGCCGGGGGGCUAUUCCUUUGACUCGUACUGAUGAGAAUUUGACUCCACGAGAAAUUGAGCAAAAAGUAGCGGAAUUGGCCUAUUUUUUGCGUGUACCAAUUGAAGUAUUUUGAAAUGAGCUGAAGAAUGAACAUUUUCUUAGCAGGAGC
rnacentral:misc_RNA from 1 species